CGUAUUAUACGUAUCGCAUAAUCGUCUAGGCUUUGUUCUGUCUUAAAGAUUUACGGAACGGCUGCUCAAGAGUGCCGUUCUGACUUGGAUGACGAUGAAGUCACGCGUAGUCUGUUUUACAUAUUCUGGGAUCGUGCUGCUCAGCGCACCGUUUUGCUGAAAUAUAAUAUCAGAUACGGCUCCUAGUGAAACGCUCCAGUGAAACGAAAUCGUGCUUCAACGUGACACAAUUGCAGAUAAUAUCUCACGACUGGCAAUAUUUCGAGGGUAAGCGACGAGAAUGGCCGCAAUCGCUACAUAAAAAUGUUACAUCCUAAUGUUAGGCGUUGUUGAACUUCAAAUUUGUUCAGCGCUUCAGUGCGCUGAACAAAUGAUGCGGGCGAAGAUUAAACAAUAUACCUAUGACAAAGAAAGGUGUGCAAAUGACUGUGUUGCUGUGGACUGUUGCGGGAAGCCUCUCCCUCGUUUGGGCAUCGAACACGACGGAAGUGCAAAGGAUGACAGCAACUCGACUACCAACGGGGAGCAGAGCCAAGGAAGACGUUUGGGCACCAUGCAGGAAUUACUCCGAGUCGUGCAUAAGCGACAAGGACUGCUGCGACGAGAGGACGUGCUACGAGUACCAGUGCUCCUUCCGGAGGCUGGGGAGGAAAAAAAAAGGCGGGGUAACCACCGCGGCCAACUCACAAGAAAGGGCUCCCGCUGCUCCAUAAACAAUUGGGGAAGGCCUGCCCAACUCACCGGAUGUGGCCUGCAAUCUAAUCGACGCCGCGCACCACAGCUCUUUCUUCCUGCCCAAUAGUUACAUGCUACAGCGUGUGUGUCUGAAUAAAACAUUCCG